rnacentral:rRNA from 1 species
GACGAACGCUGGCGGCGUGCUUAACACAUGCAAGUCGAACGGAAAGGCCCUGCUUUUGUGGGGUGCUCGAGUGGCGAACGGGUGAGUAACACGUGAGUAACCUGCCCUUGACUUUGGGAUAACUUCAGGAAACUGGGGCUAAUACCGGAUAGGAGCUCCUGCUGCAGGGUGGGGGUUGGAAAGUUUCGGCGGUUGGGGAUGGACUCGCGGCUUAUCAGCUUGUUGGUGGGGUAGUGGCUUACCAAGGCUUUGACGGGUAGCCGGCCUGAGAGGGUGACCGGCCACAUUGGGACUGGGAUACGGCCCAGACUCCUACGGGAGGCAGCAGUGGGGAAUAUUGCACAAUGGGCGGAAGCCUGAUGCAGCAACGCCGCGUGCGGGAUGACGGCCUUCGGGUUGUAAACCGCUUUCGCCUGUGACGAAGCGUGAGUGACGGUAAUGGGUAAAGAAGCACCGGCUAACUACGUG